rnacentral:rRNA from 1 species
GUGGGGAAUCUUGCGCAAUGGGCGAAAGCCUGACGCAGUCAUGCCGCGUGAAUGAUGAAGGUCUUAGGAUUGUAAAAUUCUUUCACCGGGGACGAUAAUGACGGUACCCGGAGAAGAAGCUCCGGCUAACUUCGUGCCAGCAGCCGCGGUAAUACGAAGGGGGCUAGCGUUGCUCGGAAUUACUGGGCGUAAAGGGCGCGUAGGCGGACAGCUUAGUCAGAGGUGAAAGCCCAGGGCUCAACCUUGGAAUUGCCUUUGAUACUGGCUGUCUUGAGUUUGGGAGAGGUGAGUGGAACUCCGAGUGUAGAGGUGAAAUUCGUAGAUAUUCGGAAGAACACCAGUGGCGAAGGCGACUCACUGGCCCAAUACUGACGCUGAGGCGCGAAAGCGUGGGGAGCAAACAGGAUUAGAAACCCCAGUAGUCC